UCCGGAUUGGUGUAGGGGUUAACAUUGCCGCCUCUCAACCAGGAUUUAAACUUUGACUCCAACAUGAAUCCGGACGGAUUCGCGGCAGCCCGGGGUUCGAUUCCCCGAUCCGGAA